CUACGGGGUGCAGCAGUAGGGAAUCUUAGACAAUGGGGGAAACCCUGAUCUAGCCAUGCCGCGUGAGUGAUGAAGGCCUUAGGGUUGUAAAGCUCUUUCGCUGGGGAAGAUAAUGACGGUACCCAGUAAAGAAACCCCGGCUAACUCCGUGCCAGCAGCCGCAGUAAUACGGAGGGGGUUAGCGUUGUUCGGAAUUACUGGGCGUAAAGCGCGCGUAGGCGGGCUAUUAAGUCAGGGGUGAAAUCCCGGGGCUCAACCCCGGAACUGCCUUUGAUACUGGUAGUCUUGAGUUCGAGAGAGGUGAGUGGAAUUCCGAGUGUAGAGGUGAAAUUCGUAGAUAUUCGGAGGAACAUCAGUGGCGAAGGCGACUCACUGGCUCGAUACUGACGCUGAGGUGCGAAAGUGUGGGGAGCAAACAGGAUUAGAUACCCGUGUAGUC
rnacentral:rRNA from 1 species